AAAAAAGGCAAACCCUAGUUUCCGUGUCCAACGUUUGACUGUCCUAAAUUUUUUUAUAAUUAGUAUUUUUAUUGUUGUUAGAUGAUAAACAUGAUUAAUAUUUUAUACGUGACUUGUCUUUUUAAUUUUUUUCAUAAUUUUUUCAAAUAAGGCGGGCGGUCAAACGUUGGACACGAAAACCCAAGGUUUGUCUUCUU
rfam:Oryza glumipatula chromosome 6, whole genome shotgun sequence.